GGAAUAGUAUAAAAGGCUUAGGAUAUCGCUCAGUUAGUCACACCAAUCGUCCAGUAAUUCAAACCAAAUCAAAAAUGUUCCAGAAAUUUUUCCUCUUUGCCUGCAUCUUGGCUGUGAUGGCUGUCGUCUACACUAACUCUGCGCCCACUUCUGAUGAUGAAGCAACUGGCGAGGAGAGUGAUCAGUUCUUAUUCUACUGCAGAUGGUUUACCUCUUGCAGCAACAGUACCCAGUGUUCAAGCAAUCUAAUCCACAAGACAUGCAACGGAGGACGAUGCUGCAGAGGUUAACGACUAACUUGGUAAUAAUACCGCCUGGACUCCCCUGGAGAAAGAUAUCCGCUUUACAAUGACAUCGCAACUUUCCCCUUUGGUCUGUUUUUUCACAAUUCUAGAGUAUACCUUAGAAUAGCAGUAAAAAUACACGUCUAUCACUAGCA